UUAUCCGGAUUUACUGGGUGUAAAGGGAGCGCAGGCGGUGCGGCAAGUCUGAUGUGAAAGCCCGGGGCUCAACCCCGGUACUGCAUUGGAAACUGUCGUACUAGAGUGUCGGAGGGGUAAGCGGAAUUCCUAGUGUAGCGGUGAAAUGCGUAGAUAUUAGGAGGAACACCAGUGGCGAAGGCGGCUUACUGGACGAUAACUGACGCUGAGGCUCGAAAGCGUGGGGAGCAAACAGGAUUAGAUACCCUGGUAGUCCACGCCGUAAACGAUGAGUACUAGGUGUUGGGAA
rnacentral:rRNA from 1 species